GUCCGCCGGCGGCGCCGUGAGGCGGGCAGUAGUCGUGAGGGACCAUGCGGCGGACGCGCGGCGCGCUGCCGGCCCAGCUGCCGGCGGCGGAGGCGGAGGAGGCGCUGCGGCGCCUGACGCGGUUCCUGGCGCGCGCGUUGCCGCUGUGCCGCGCCCACACGACGGAGUUCUAUGUGCGCGGGCUGUGGGAGCAGCUGGUGGCGGCGCGCCCCGAGGUCGUGCUACAGGCGCUGCGGCGCCCCCUGCCGGAGGCCUCCGGCUCCGCGGCCGUGCUGUGGGAUGACGACACAUUUUCUGACGUGUUUUGUGAAAACUCCAAGAAACUUAUCAAUGUACACUUAUUUGCCCUGGCUGCCAGGCAUUAUUCUUUGCCCAACCUUGGAGUGUGUACUCCAUUAGAAGAUAUACUUGAAGCACUGAGAGGAGACAGCCAAGGAGCAAGUGGUAUCAAAACAGAUGAGUUUAUGAAUAAUAAGAAAUCUCAUGAAGUACAAGCAAUGUCAGAGCUGGUAGACAAAAUAGCAAAGUAUUGUGGUGUAGAGCAGGUGAUUGAUAUAGGUUCUGGAAAGGGCUACCUGAGUUCAUUUUUAUCUAUGCAAUAUAACUUAAAAGUUUAUGGAAUUGAUUCAUCGAAAACCAAUACUAACGGUGCUCAUGAAAGGAACAGGAAAUUGAAGAAACACUGGAAAACUUAUCAGAGUCGAGCAAGAGGCGGUUCUGAAACCCAGAGGUUGGAAAAGCCAAUGAAAAGUGAAGUUAAAUGUAAAACCAUCAAUGAAAAACCCUUAAGUAAUAACAGCAGUCUUCAAAGUCAAGAGCUAGGGAAUACCCAAGACUUAGUUCCUUCUUGUGUUUUCACAGAAGUGGCUAUAUCUGAGACCAGCAAACAAACUGAAAUCAAUUUGGCACAGGCACAGUCUGAUGAGAGCAAGCUUUCUGAAGAGGCUCUUGCUAUUCUCAGUAUUCUGCCUGCUGAUGCUGUAGAAGUUUUCUCUUCAUCCCACUGUAACUAUGGGGAAAUCUGUGAAGAGGGAAAAGCACAAAGAAAAAUGGCAUUUAUCAAGGCUAAAGUGAGCAAGUCAAGUGAAUCAAACCUUUAUUUUCCAUUGACCUCCUACAUCAGCGCGGAAACAGAACUCAGUGACAUCAUAACAGAUUUAGAGGACUGUAUAAUGGUGGGUCUGCAUACAUGUGGUGACCUUGCUGCAAACACACUCCGAAUUUUUACUGCCAAGCCUGAAAUCAAAGCAGUUUGCAGUGUAGGCUGCUGCUACCAUCUGUUGUCAGAACAGUAUGAAAACCAAGAAGAUUGCACAGAGGAAAUGUGGGGAUUUCCCAUGUGUCAGUACUUGAAGGACGAGGGCUGGUGCUGUGGUCGCAAUGCUAGAAUGUCAGCAUGCUUGGCUUUGGAGCGAGUUGCAGUCGGCCAAAUGCUGCCUACAGAAUCGUUAUUUUAUCGAGCUGUUCUUCAGGUUAUUAUAGAAGAAACUUAUGGUGUCACCAAAAGUGAUCGACAUGUUGGAAAAAUUUUCUCCAAAUCCUCCUCAUUCUUAGAUUAUGUCAGAAAGUCUCUGAAAAAACUGGAACUGGAUGAUUCCAAGCUUCCAGACAGUUGUAUAAUGGAUUACUAUGAAAAAUACAAGCACAGAAUGAAUGAGCUUGAAGCAUUUAAUAUGCUAAAGGUUGUGCUAGCUCCCUGCGUAGAAGUUUUGAUACUUCUGGAUCGUCUUUGCUACCUCAAGGAGCAGAACAACAUUGCCUGGUCAGGACUUGUGAAGUUAUUCGAUCCCGUGAAAUCCCCCAGAUGCUAUGCAGUUAUUGCUCUGAAGAAACAGUCGUGUCUUUAAGUGGAAGCAAACUGCAGAUAGGUUGAAAGCUCUGAACUGAUACUGCUAUUUCCUCACUGCUCUUUUUAAUUGAUUCCUCAAGUAUACUGAUACGUUUGGCAACUAUUUACUUUUCAGCUGCAAAAAUAAUAAAUGCAAUGCCUCUGUGAAUCGCACCAUUCUUAUCUAUUGCUGGCCCUCCUCUUGGUAUUUUUAAUCUCAAGAUUAUUCUUCCAUAGAUAUUUUCAAAUGUUCCAAUGGAUGACAUCAACAAUCUCAGGCAAGCCUGGCUUUUUUCUUUUCUGGAUUCAGAUCACACAUAGUUUAAACAGAAAAUUAAUCUGUGUUAUAGACAAGAAGUGCAUAGACUAAGUGAGUCUUUGUGCUUCUCUGCUCUCCAAGUGAACUAAAACAGCUUACUGUAGAGCAACCCUGAAGAGUCCAGAACCUUCUAAGACUAGAUACUAAAUACCCACAAAAGGGGGUUUUGUAUUAAUCUCCUCUUCCUUCAGGCAUGUUCCUGACAUGUCUUGCUUGCCAGUCACUCUGAAAAAAACAACUGAGUGUGAUGCAAUCCAUUGUAUCCCAAUAUUAAAGAAUCAGCUGCCCUGCUGGAGUUCACUCUAAUCUUUGGGUUUUAUCAGAAACCUAUUAUCUGGCUCAAAUGUAUUGGGUAUAAGUAUAAAAAUUUUGGUGCCUAAAUGAGUUGAAACUUGCUAGGUAGUUUCUGCUUGGCCAUACUGACUUUAAGAGUGGGAAAUUUAUUUGUUGAUGCGUUCAUCCCAAUGGAUUGCCUCCUUAAACUUCCAGAUAUACUAUCAAUUAAAAAAAGAGAAAGGUUUCUAUUCUAAGUCCUAGUGCUUUUAUUAGAACUUUCCAGUGAAUACAAAAAAUAAUUAUUUACAAGGAGUAUUUAAAAAGGCCGACCAAUAGAAUUCAACAUUAAAAAAUAAAACCAGAAAAUGCAACUUUGGUGGGCAGCAAAUGAGAGAAACAGAAAAAAAAAUUAUAUUAAUUAAAUAGUGACAGUAAUAGAUUUGGGAGUCAAAUUGAGAUUCAGAUCUGAGGAGCGAUAAAUCUUAUUCUGUUUCAGUCUGCAAAAUAUAAUGUGAGCUUUUGAGCACGGCCAAUCAAGAAAAGAGAAGUAGGGUAUUUUUCUAACAAGUCACAUCUCUUUUCAUGUAUUUUCUUGGAAGAAAUAUAUUUUUUUAGUAGUGUAGGUAAGUUCACUGCUGUCUGUUUUCGGACAUUCAGUCCUUACUAGCUCCGUGGAUCUGCUGAAUGUGGUGGAUGUCCUAGUAACGGAGGACACUGAGAAGAUGGAGUUACUGAACACCUUCUUUGCUCCAGUCUUUACUGCUACAACUUCCCCUCAGAAAUUGCAGACCCUGGAUACAGGGGUAGUAUCUAGAGAAAGGAAGGCUUCCCUUAGUCGGGGAGUAUCUGAUCAGAGAUCGUCUAGUCAAACUUGACCAUAGAUCCAUGAGGCUCAGUGGGAUGCAUCCAUGAGGGCUGAGGUAGCUGGCAGAAGUGACUGCCAAACCACUCUCUAUCAUCUUUGAAAGGCCAUGGAGAAGUGUCUGAGAACCAGAGGAAAGCCAGUGUCACUCUGCUCUUCAAAAAGGGCAAGAAGGAGGAUCUGGGCAACUACAGGACAGUCAGCCUCACUUCCAUUCCUGGGAAAGUAAGUGAUACAGCAGCUUAUUCUGGAUGCCAUCUCUGAGCAAAUGGAAGAAAAGAAGGUUAUCAGGAGUAGUCAGCAUGGAUUCAUCAAGGGAAAAUCAUGCUUGACGAAUGUGGUAACCUUCUAUGAUGUCAUGACUGGCUGGGUAGAUGAGGGGCAAGCAGUGGAUGUUGACUUCAGCGCAGCUCUUGGCACUGUAUCCCACAACAUCCUCAUGGAUAAGCUUAGGAAGUGUGGGAUAGACAAGUGAACAGUGAGUUGGAUUGAGAAUCAGUUGACUGGUAAAGUUCAGAGGGUUGUGAUCAGUGGCUCAGACUACAGUCAGAGACCUGUAGCUAGUGGCAUCCCCACGGGUUUGGUAGCAGUUAUGGUCUUGUUCAACAUCUUCAUCAAUGACCUGAAUAAAGGAUAGAAUGCACCUUCAGCAUGUCUGUUGUUUAGGCAAAGCUGGGAGGACUGGCUCACACACUAGCAGGCUGUGCUGCCAUUCUGGUCACUUUGGAGAGGUGAGUGGAGAAAAGCCUGAUGAGAUUCAACAAGGGCAGGUGUAAAGUUCUGCACCUAGGGAAGAAUAACUGUAUGCAUCAGCACAGGUUAGGGCAGGCAUGUCCAACUCACAGCCUGUGGGCCACAUACAGCCCAGUGCAGCUCACAGUGUGGCCGCUCCCUCCCUGCCCUUUGUCGUUAUGGCAAUGGUUCUUCUGCAUGAAGCAGCUUGGCCCAGCCCUGGGCGGGCAGCCGUCACUCAGCAACAACCAAAUGUUGGUGAGCAAUUAACUCUGGCUGAGCUGAAAUCAGGACAUGGGGCAUAGUGCAGGGCUAACUCAAGUUCUGACAAAUAUGUUUAUGCAUUUUGAUACACUGGCUAAACACAGUGCUGUGAACAGCAAAAAAUACACAGCUGUGCUUCCUUUUUGAUAUAAGAAUCUGAGAAUAGGUUUCAACAUUGCCAAGAAAUUACUGUUUGUUUUUUUUUAAUAUUUGUGACUUCAUUUCUCAGUUGACAUAAAUACAUGACUUGCAAAUUUUCAAAUGGAAUGUAUAGAAUUGCAAUCAGAUAUUAAACUAAAAAUACUGAUGAUGUUUCUGUACUGGACUCUUAUAAGCCCUGUUUUAGCAGAAAGAAAUAUCCCUCACUUCACAAUCACGCCUUACUCAUGUCACCACUUUGGCAGUACGUAUAUUUGUGAACAGCUGUUUUCAAGGAGGAAGUGCAGAAAGAGUAAAAUCUCAUCAAAAAGCUCUGUUGAACACCUUGAGAAUUCACUGAGAAUGGCAAACACUUCCAUUGAACCAGACUGAUGCAUUAGUGUCACAAAAUCAAAUAUCCCACCAGUUCAGUGUUUUUUUUUCUCUCCCUUUUUUAUGUUUUAAUAAAAAAUAGCAAAAAAAUCUUUUUUUUUACUUACAUACAUUAACUAUAUUAUAUAUUUU